UACAGAGGUCUCAAGCGUUGUUCGGAUUCAUUGGGCGUAAAGGGUGCGUAGGCGGCGAGGUAAGUCAGAUGUGAAAUCCCGGAGCUUAACUCCGGAACUGCAUUUGAUACUGCUUUGCUUGAGGACUGGAGAGGAGAUCGGAAUUCACGGUGUAGCAGUGAAAUGCGUAGAUAUCGUGAGGAAGGCCAGUGGCGAAGGCGGAUCUCUGGACAGUUCCUGACGCUGAGGCACGAAGGCCAGGGGAGCAAACGGA
rnacentral:rRNA from 1 species